rnacentral:rRNA from 1 species
GAGGAAAGAAAUAUAGAGGGUGAUGAUGAUAAUGUAGGAAGGAAGGGGGGUUGGCCCAGAUCGUUUACCGUGAAAAAAUUAGAGUGUUCAAAGCAGGCAGAUCCAAUUUUCUGCCACCGAAUACAUUAGCAUGGGAUAAUGGAAUAGGACCCUGUCCUCCUAUUUUCAGUUGGUUUUGGCAGCGCGAGGACUAGGGUAAUUAUUAAUAGGUAUAGUUGGGGGCAUUAAUAUUUAAUUGUCAGAGGUGAAAUUCUGGGUUUUACGAAAGAUUAACUUCUGGGAAAGCAUCUGCCAAGGAUGUUUUCAUUAAUCAAUAACGAAAGUUAGGGGAUCGAAGACGAUCAGAUUCCGUCGUAGUCUUAACCAUAAACUGAUGCCGACCAUGCGAUUAGGAGACGUUGAAUACAAAACAGGGCCAUCGGUUUCGGUCGUCCUAGGCGUCUCGGUUCGGCCGGGCCGGGACGUAGCCGGCCG